rnacentral:rRNA from 1 species
UACGUAGGGAGCAAGCGUUGUCCGGAAUCAUUGGGCGUAAAGCGCGCGUAGGCGGCCCUGUAAGUCCGCUCUGAAAGUCAAAGGCUCAACCUUUGAAAGCGGGUGGAUACUGCAGGGCUAGAGUCCGGAAGAGGCGGGUGGAAUUCCUGGUGUAGCGGUGGAAUGCGCAGAUAUCAGGAGGAACACCAACGGCGAAGGCAGCCCGCUGGGACGGUACUGACGCUGAGGCGCGAAAGCGUGGGGAGCGAACAG